UAGGGAAUCUUCGGCAAUGGGGGCAACCCUGACCGAGCAACGCCGCGUGAGUGAAGAAGGUUUUCGGAUCGUAAAGCUCUGUUGUAAGAGAAGAACGUGUGUGAGAGUGGAAAGUUCACACAGUGACGGUAACUUACCAGAAAGGGACGGCUAACUACGUGCCAGCAGCCGCGGUAAUACGUAGGUCCCGAGCGUUGUCCGGAUUUAUUGGGCGUAAAGCGAGCGCAGGCGGUUUAAUAAUUCUGAAGUUAAAGGCAGUGGCUUAACCAUUGUUCGCUUUGGAAACUGUUAAACUUGAGUGCAGAAGGGGAGAGUGGAAUUCCAUGUGUAGCGGUGAAAUGCGUAGAUAUAUGGAGGAACACCGGUGGCGAAAGCGGCUCUCUGGUCUGUAACUGACGCUGAGGCUCGAAAGCGUGGGGAGCAAACAGG
rnacentral:rRNA from 1 species